rnacentral:rRNA from 1 species
GAUGAACGCUGGCGGCGUGCCUAAUACAUGCAAGUCGAGCGAAUGGAUUGAGAGCUUGCUCUUAUGAAGUUAGCGGCGGACGGGUGAGUAACACGUGGGUAACCUGCCCAUAAGACUGGGAUAACUCCGGGAAACCGGGGCUAAUACCGGAUAACAUUUUGAACCGCAUGGUUCGAAAUUGAAAGGCAGCUUCGGCUGUCACUUAUGGAUGGACCCGCGUCGCAUUAGCUAGUUGGUGAGGUAACGGCUCACCAAGGCAACGAUGCGUAGCCGACCUGAGAGGGUGAUCGGCCAAACUGGGACUGAGACACGGCCCAGACUCCUACGGGAGGCAGCAGUAGGGAAUCUUCCGCAAUGGACGAAAGUCUGACGGAGCAACGCCGCGUGAGUGAUGAAGGCUUUCGGGUCGUAAAACUCUGUUGUUAGGGUAGAACAAGUGCUAGUUGAAUAAGCUGGCACCUUGACGGUACCUAACCAGAAAGCCACGGCUAACUACGUGCCAGCCGCCGCAGUAA